rnacentral:rRNA from 1 species
CCUACGGGCGGCAGCAGUGAGGAAUAUUUGUCAAUGGGCGCGAGCCUGAACCAGCCAAGUAGCGUGAAGGCUGACUGCCCUACGGGUUGUAAACUUCUUUUAUAAAGGAAUAAAGUGAGGCACGUGUGCCUUUUUGUAUGUACUUUAUGAAUAAGGAUCGGCUAACUCCGUGCCAGCAGCCGCGGUAAUACGGAGGAUCCGAGCGUUAUCCGGAUUUAUUGGGUUUAAAGGGUGCGUAGGCGGAUCGUUAAGUCAGUGGUAAAAUUGAGGGGCUCAACCCCUUCCCGCCAUUGAAACUGGCGAUCUUGAGUGGAAGAGAAGUAUGCGGAAUGCGUGGUGGAGCGGUGAAAUGCAUAGAUAUCACGCAGAACCCCGAUUGCGAAGGCAGCAUGCCGGCUUCCGACUGACGCUGAAGCACGAAAGCGUGGGGAUCGAACAGGAUUAGAUACCCUUGUAGUC